AUUGAACGCUGGCGGCAGGCUAACACAUGCAAGUCGAGCGGCAGCGACUUAACUGAACCUUCGGGGAACGUUAAGGGCGGCGAGCGGCGGACGGGUGAGUAAUGCCUGGGAAUAUGCCCUGAUGUGGGGGAUAACUAUUGGAAACGAUAGCUAAUACCGCAUAAUCUCUUCGGAGCAAAGAGGGGGACCUUCGGGCCUCUCGCGUCAGGAUUAGCCCAGGUGGGAUUAGCUUGUUGGUGAGGUAAUGGCUCACCAAGGCAACGAUCCCUAGCUGGUCUGAGAGGAUGAUCAGCCACACUGGAACUGAGACACGGUCCAGACUCCUACGGGAGGCAGCAGUGGGGAAUAUUGCACAAUGGGGGAAACCCUGAUGCAGCCAUGCCGCGUGUGUGAAGAAGGCCUUCGGGUUGUAAAGCACUUUCAGUAGGGAGGAAGGUAGUGUAGUUAACACCUGCAUUAUUUGACGUUACCUACAGAAGAAGCACCGGCUAACUCCGUGCCAGCAGCCGCGGUAAUACGGAGGGUGCGAGCGUUAAUCGGAAUUACUGGGCGUAAAGCGCAUGCAGGCGGCCUGUUAAGUCAGAUGUGAAAGCCCGGGGCUUAACCUCGGAAUUGCAUUUGAAACUGGCAGGCUAGAGUCUUGUAGAGGGGGGUAGAAUUUCAGGUGUAGCGGUGAAAUGCGUAGAGAUCUGAAGGAAUACCAGUGGCGAAGGCGGCCCCCUGGACAAAGACUGACGCUCAGAUGCGAAAGCGUGGGGAGCAAACGGG
rnacentral:rRNA from 1 species